UGGGGAAUAUUGGACAAUGGGCGAAAGCCUGAUCCAGCAAUGCCGCGUGAGUGAUGAAGGCCUUAGGGUUGUAAAGCUCUUUUACCCGGGAUGAUAAUGACAGUACCGGGAGAAUAAGCCCCGGCUAACUCCGUGCCAGCAGCCGCGGUAAUACGGAGGGGGCUAGCGUUGUUCGGAAUUACUGGGCGUAAAGCGCACGUAGGCGGCUUUGUAAGUCAGAGGUGAAAGCCUGGAGCUCAACUCCAGAACUGCCUUUGAGACUGCAUCGCUUGAAUCCAGGAGAGGUGAGUGGAAUUCCGAGUGUAGAGGUGAAAUUCGUAGAUAUUCGGAAGAACACCAGUGGCGAAGGCGGCUCACUGGACUGGUAUUGACGCUGAGGUGCGAAAGCGUGGGGAGCAAACAGGAUUAGAUACCC
rnacentral:rRNA from 1 species